AGCAGCCGCCGCGGGAACACGAAGGGUGCAAGCGUUAAUCGGAAUUACUGGGCGUAAAGCGCGCGUAGGUGGUUCAUUAAGUUGGAUGUGAAAGCCCUGGGCUCAACCUGGGAACUGCAUCCAAAACUGGUGAGCUAGAGUACGGUAGAGGGUAGUGGAAUUUCCUGUGUAGCGGUGAAAUGCGUAGAUAUAGGAAGGAACACCAGUGGCGAAGGCGACUACCUGGACUGAUACUGACACUGAGGUGCGAAAGCGUGGGGAGCAAACAGGAUUAGAUACCCGGGUAGUCCCUGUCUCUUAUAC
rnacentral:rRNA from 1 species